GAUGGACGCUGGCGGCGUGCCUAAUACAUGCAAGUCGAGCGAACGGACGAGAAGCUUGCUUCUCUGAUGUUAGCGGCGGACAGGUGAGUAACACGUGGAUAACCUACCUAUAAGACUGGGAUAACUUCGGGAAACCGGAGCUAAUACCGGAUAAUAUUUUGAACCGCAUGGUUCAAAAGUGAAAGACGGUCUUGCUGUCACUUAUAGAUGGAUCCGCGCUGCAUUAGCUAGUUGGUAAGGUAACGGCUUACCAAGGCAACGAUGCAUAGCCGACCUGAGAGGGUGAUCGGCCACACUGGAACUGAGACACGGUCCAGACUCCUACGGGAGGCAGCAGUAGGGAAUCUUCCGCAAUGGGCGAAAGCCUGACGGAGCAACGCCGCGUGAGUGAUGAAGGUCUUCGGAUCGUAAAACUCUGUUAUUAGGGAAGAACAUAUGUGUAAGUAACUGUGCACAUCUUGACGGUACCUAAUCAGAAAGCCACGGCUAACUACGUG
rnacentral:rRNA from 1 species